rnacentral:rRNA from 1 species
UACGUAGGCAGCGAGCGUUGUUCGGAGUUACUGGGCGUAAAGGGCGUGUAGGCGGUUUUCUAAGUUUGGUGUGAAAUCUCCCGGCUUAACCGGGAGGGUGCGCCGAAAACUGGGAGACUAGAGUGCGGGAUGGGAGAGUAGAAUUCCUGGUGUAGCGGUGAAAUGCGUAGAUAUCAGGAGGAAUACCGGUGGUGCAGACGGCUCUCUGGACCGCAACUGACGCUGAGACACGAAAGCGUGGGUAGCAAACAGG